rnacentral:rRNA from 1 species
UACGUAGGGGGCAAGCGUUGUCCGGAAUUAUUGGGCGUAAAGAGCGUGUAGGCGGUCCGGCAAGUCAGCUGUGAAAGUCAAGGGCUCAACCCUUGAAUGCCGGUUGAUACUGUCGGGCUAGAGUCCGGAAGAGGCGAGUGGAAUUCCCGGUGUAGCGGUGAAAUGCGCAGAUAUCGGGAGGAACACCAAUGGCGAAGGCAGCUCGCUGGGACGGUACUGACGCUGAGACGCGAAAGCGUGGGGAGCAAACAGGG